UGGCGAACGGGUGAGUAACGCGUGAGGAACCUGCCUCAAAGAGGGGACAACAGUUGGAAACGACUGCUAAUACCGCAUAAGCCCACGACCCGGCAUCGGGAAGAGGGAAAAGGAGCAAUCCGCUUUGAGAUGGCCUCGCGUCCGAUUAGCUAGUUGGUGAGGUAACGGCCCACCAAGGCGACGAUCGGUAGCCGGACUGAGAGGUUGAACGGCCACAUUGGGACUGAGACACGGCCCAG
rnacentral:rRNA from 1 species